rnacentral:rRNA from 1 species
UUGAACUGAAGAGUUUGAUCCUGGCUCAGAUUGAACGCUGGCGGCAUGCCUUACACAUGCAAGUCGAACGGCAGCACGGGCUUCGGCCUGGUGGCGAGUGGCGAACGGGUGAGUAAUACAUCGGAACAUGUCCUGUAGUGGGGGAUAGCCCGGCGAAAGCCGGAUUAAUACCGCAUACGAUCCACGGAUGAAAGCGGGGGACCUUCGGGCCUCGCGCUAUAGGGUUGGCCGAUGGCUGAUUAGCUAGUUGGUGGGGUAAAGGCCUACCAAGGCGACGAUCAGUAGCUGGUCUGAGAGGACGACCAGCCACACUGGGACUGAGACACGGCCCAGACUCCUACGGGAGGCAGCAGUGGGGAAUUUUGGACAAUGGGGGCAACCCUGAUCCAGCAAUGCCGCGUGUGUGAAGAAGGCCUUCGGGUUGUAAAGCACUUUUGUCCGGAAAGAAAUCCUUGGCUCUAAUACAGUCGGGGGAUGACGGUACCGGAAGAAUAAGCACCGGCUAACUACGUGCCAGCAGCCGCGGUAAUACGUAGGGUGCGAGCGUUAAUCGGAAUUACUGGGCGUAAAGCGUGCGCAG